rnacentral:rRNA from 1 species
UACGGAGGAUGCGAGCGUUAUCCGGAUUCAUUGGGUUUAAAGGGUGCGUAGGCGGUUAAUUAAGUCAGUGGUGAAAUCACCCAGCUCAACUGGGUAACUGCCAUUGAUACUGAUUAACUAGAAUGUAAAUGGAGUAGGCGGAAUGAAUCAUGUAGAGGUGACAUUCAUAGAUAUGAUUCAGAACACCGAUCGCGAAGGCAGCUUGCUAAGAUACAAUUGACGCUGAGGCACGAAAGCGUGGGUAGCAAACAGG